AGAUGUAGCAAAGGUCAUAAUCCACUUCCAUACCUCAUGAAGCAUUAAGCUGAAGGAGCAACCCCACUGGUUUGCUCAGGCCAGCAGUCUCUCUCCUACACUUGACCUAGACUGCCUUACAUAAUGAGGAAUCAGUGCUGUUCCCGUGUGGUAGAGCAAAGCUGAAUGUCAUCAUUGGCAGCAAGCAGGCUGGUAGUUUGCAUGGAGAUCACGAAGUCUUUUUUUUUUCCUGAGUAUUCUGGGAGAAAAGGCAAGAAUAGCUCUGAAAACCUGGUGUCCUUCCUCCUCUGAAAUGAGUGACUGGAAGGAAUGAGGGUGUUACACAGAAGGCAGACUGCAAGAGCAAAAGCUGCAUCUGUACUCACUGCAAACCUAACACAAUUCCUGUCACGCUGUAUCUAAAGGACUGCAUAGCGACAGCUAGUAAGAACGCAAGAGCAAGGCAAAGCAAAGGAGAGGCACAGACUACUGCUGCAUAAAAUUGUCUUUAUAUAAGCUCAUUACGGGUAACCUUAAGGUGAGACUGCCUUGGACACUCAUUGGUCAUUGUGAACACUGGAGCAUCUCGAACAGAUGAAUCUAAUAAUUUUGUGGAAGAUGCUAUAUAGUGUUGGAGGCUGGAAUCCUCUUUAAGUUCACAGAAUGUGUGACACCUGGGCAUCAGCAGCACACAAAGGACCCCACAUUGUGCCAGUGCCUCAGACAUCAUCUAGCGGGACCUGUGAGAGUAAUAUGGUAAUUAAAAUCACCAUCCCCAUUGAGUUCUUGGACCACAUGCUAUAAUACCCUGAACAAGUGCCUCAUGUUAUUGUGUUGUGAUGCUAUUUACUAAAAAUUGAAUUGAGACCACUAAUUCUUUCCCAUAAUUUAAAAACAAUCAGAUAGUAACAAGUUCCUAUCAAUACUGACUUGAGCCAUAUUGUAAUUAGUGAUCUAAUUACAAUAGACCCUAUUUCCCCAUCAUU